GAUGAAGAACGCAGCGAAAUGCGAUAAGUAAUGUGAAUUGCAGAAUUCAGUGAAUCAUCGAAUCUUUGAACGCACAUUGCGCCCGCCAGUAUUCUGGCGGGCAUGCCUGUUCGAGCGUCAUUUCAACCCUCAGGCCCCGCCUGGCGUUGGGGAUCGGCGCGGCCCUCUCCGGGCUGCCGGCCCCGAAAACUAGUGGCGGUCUCGCUGUAGUCCUCCUCUGCGCAGUAGCAACGCUCGCACUGGAACUCGGCGCGGCCACGCCGUAAAACACCCCACUUCUGAAAGUUGACCUCGGAUCAGGUAGGAAUACCCGCUGAACUUAAGCAUAUAAUGAGCGGAGGA
rnacentral:misc_RNA from 1 species